GACGAACGCUGGCGGCGUGCUUAACACAUGCAAGUCGAACGGAAAGGCCCUGCUUUUGUGGGGUGCUCGAGUGGCGAACGGGUGAGUAACACGUGAGUAACCUGCCCUUGACUUUGGGAUAACUUCAGGAAACUGGGGCUAAUACCGGAUAGGAGCUCCUGCUGCAUGGUGGGGGUUGGAAAGUUUCGGCGGUUGGGGAUGGACUCGCGGCUUAUCAGCUUGUUGGUGGGGUAGUGGCUUACCAAGGCUUUGACGGGUAGCCGGCCUGAGAGGGUGACCGGCGUCAAGGGGACUGAGAGACGGCCCAGACUCGUACGGGAGGCAGCAGUGGAGAAUAUUGCACAGUGAGCGGGAGCCAGAUGCAGCAGCGCCGCGAGCGUGAUGACGGCCUUCGGGUUGUAAACCACUGUCGCCUGUGACAAGGCGUGAGUGACGGUAAUGGAUAAAGAAGCACCGGCUAACUACGUG
rnacentral:rRNA from 1 species